GCUGUCGAGAUGCCUAAAAAGCAUUUCAUAGCAAGGGCCGGGCAAGACCGGUGCCAGCCGCCGCGGUAACACCGGCGGCUCGAGUGGUAACCGUUAUUAUUGGGUCUAAAGGGUCUGUAGCCGGCCGGAUAAGUCUCUUGAGAAAUCUGGCAGCUUAACUGUCAGGCUUUCAGGAGAUACUGUCUGGCUCGAGGCCGGGAGAGGUGAGAGGUACUUCAGGGGUAGGGGUGAAAUCUUGUAAUCCUUGAAGGACCACCAGUGGCGAAGGCGUCUCACCAGAACGGACCUGACGGCAAGGGACGAAAGCUAGGGGCACGAACCGGAUUAGAUACCCGGGUAGUCCUAGCCGUAAACGAUACUCGCUAGGUGUCGGCCACGGUGCGACCGUUGUCGGUGCCGUAGGGAAGCCGUGAAGCGAGC
rnacentral:rRNA from 1 species